GUCUACGGCCAUACCACCCUGAACGCACCCAAUCUCGUCUGAUCUUGGAAGCUAAGCAGGGUUGGGCUUGGUUAGGACUUGGAUGGGAGACCACCUGGGAAUACCAGGUGCUGUAGGCU
rnacentral:rRNA from 1 species